UAUCCUCUGCGACCAUUUAUUUGCCUGGGCUUCGAAGACCCACUCGAUAAGGUGUCUAAGGAUUCUUCGGCAGAGUAUUCAGAGGCUCGCGACUGAGCUACAUCUGGCUGUUUUAAGAAAUAAAAAACGGGGAGAUGCCGGGAGCCGGCGAGAGACAUUCCACUCGUGACAAAGGUCAUGAGGAAGGAGGCUGGG